CUUUUUGGUAGUGGUUCAUUUCCCUGCAGAAAUAAAGACAUCCCUUUUUGAUUCUUCGAUGUCGGCUCUUCCUAUCAUUGUGAAGCAGAAUUCACCAAGCGUUGGAUUGUUCACCCACUAAUAGGGAACGUGAGCUGGGGUUAGACCGUCGUGAAACAGGUU
rnacentral:ncRNA from 1 species